AUCUCCAGAGUUCAUCUUUCCCUCUUCACGGUGGCUGACAGUGUUUGAGAUGGGUGGCUACAUCCUCAGUCUGAGUUAAAGAGUCACCUUGGCCAUUUACUAUGUGAUGGAUCUUCCUUCACCUGAGAAAAAUGGGAUUUGAUCAACUGUUCUAGGAAAACAUCAUGAGUCUCCUUCACACCUUUUUAUGAGACAAAAAAAUAUAAUGAAAUAUAAUGUCUUCCUCCCACUGGAGAGUAAUGAAGAACAAAACUAAUUUGUUGGACUAAAAAUUAAUUAGACACAUCAGAUUCGAUUGUACCUAUUACUGUGAAAGUUUGCAGUUGUUCCACAUAUUAUUACCAACUAUGUAAGUAUUUAUAAUCUACAUGGGGACACGUAAGUAGGAACACACAUUGCUUGUUUCUGAAAGAGGCCUUACCUUGUAUUCUUGGAUAAUUCCAUUCUGAUGAUCAGGAGGAGGAGGAUCCCAGGAAACACUAAUACUUGUGCUAUUGUGGCUUCCAACAGUCAGCACAGUGACAGAUUGUGGAGGGGCACUUGGGGCUGCAGAGGAAGUGAUUAGAAUAAACACAAACUAUCCUGACAGCUCCAGAAUGAGGACACACUCACCAAGAGUUCACAGUUUGGGGGAAAGACAUUAAAUCAAACAGCCCUUUUAGAAGCUACCAUGAGAAAGCCAACUGAUCUUGAUUUAAAAUAGAGGUCUCCUGCAUGUCAAGAUAGAGUGGACUUCCAAUCACGCUAAACCUGUUACAUCAAAAUAUGUAUUAAAAUGUGUGUAUAUGUAGAAAACCUUAUAAAAACCUAAGGAAAACAAGAUUCUCUGUGUAUUCU